UUACGGCCAUAUCACAUUGAAACACCUGUUUCUGUACGAUCACCGAAGUUAAACAACGUCGAGCUUGGUCAGUACGUAGAGGGGUAACCGCUUGGGAAUAUCAAUUGCCGUC